rnacentral:rRNA from 1 species
UACGUAGGGUGCAAGCGUUGUCCGGAAUUAUUGGGCGUAAAGAGCUCGUAGGCGGUUUGUCGCGUCUGCUGUGAAAUCCCGAGGCUCAACCUCGGGUCUGCAGUGGGUACGGGCAGACUAGAGUGCGGUAGGGGAGAUUGGAAUUCCUGGUGUAGCGGUGGAAUGCGCAGAUAUCGGGAGGAACACCGGUGGCGAAGGCGGCCCGCUGGGCAGUGGCUGACGCUGAGGCGCGACAGCGUGGGGAGCAAACAGG